GAGCAGGCGAUGCCGUUUCUCAGUUGCUGUAGAUAAAUACUAGAAUGACUUGUUGGGAUGAAAAUACUGUCCUCAUCACCAAUCCAAAGCUACUGCUGGAAGCAUUGAGGCUGAGAAUAUCCAUUUUUCCACUGGUAGAGGCCAGAUAGCAGACAUUGAGUUUUGCUGGAUCGCAUUCUUUGGCGGAACUCUGGGCACUUAAGAAGAAUUAGUGGAUUACGCCUCACAGGAGCUCAUAAGAGGGCACUGAGGUUCCCCUGAGCCUCUUCCAGCUGUAAAUUCUCCUGGCAUGAAGCAGGGUAAUGCUGGAGGGUGAAUGUAUUUUCAGACCAUGUAUACAAGAGGGAGUUGUACAAAGAUUACUGAGGAUAUGAUUUAUGUUUUUUGCUGUCUGCGGGGGAAUGAGGGACCAAGUGUCUUCUGUAAAAUGUGUGCUACCACAGCUUGUGACUGGCUUCCAUUCAGGUCAAGAUGCUAACCACUGUGUAGGACUGCUUCCUGUGCCUGAAUUUCUUGAGGUGAACAGCAGUUACCUGCCAAUGGGAACAGGAGACAAUCUGAUGAUUUGAAAUCGGUGCAUUUAAUUUGAAUUCAGUAUCAAGCACAUUGCUAGAGUUAUUAGUACAGCAAUCAGUUCAGAAGCAACCACAGCAAUUUGGGUGGUAAAUAGAUGGCAGCAUGGAUUUAUUAUAAGUAAGUCAUACAAACUAAUUUCUUUCUCUGAUAGAAUAAAAAGCUUAA